AUUGAAGAACCUUAAGAGUUUUUUCAGUUUAUUUCUUUACUUCAUGUCUAAAUUCUUUGGACUUUUUAAAAACCUCAGAUUUAUGAUGCAUAAGGUACACAUAUCCAUACCAUAAAAAAAUAUCGAUAAAGAUAAUAAAAUAGAAAAAACCUCCUCUGGCUGACACAUCGAAUGGGCCGUAGACAUCAGAAUGCAUCAGAGCAAGU
rnacentral:lncRNA from 1 species